CCGACGGUUCUUGUCACGCCAAGCUGCAUAAAACAGACCAUGACUGAACAUUGGGUUAGUUGCUGAGACAAUAAAGUCAACGAAUCGUCACAAGAAAAGGAAAUAUAUGAACAGAAAACACACUGACACAUGUGCUAUCCGCGAGCCGAAAGGAAAAAUAAGACAUACAUCUAUUUUAGUAGUGACUUUUGUGCUGCUUUGCCAGUCUACAUGCAUUAAAUACAAAGCCAGGUUAACGUGCACAGCAAUAUCACAUAAACUGCUGGAAUUCCACAUCUUAGCUUGUUGCCGUGAGCUUUGUUUGCGGGGUGCAUUGCAUUGCAAUUUGCACUCGUUUUGUGCUACCUGACGCCAUGGAUGUGACCUGCCUUGUACAAGUGGCGACCUUUCUCAAGAGUAAAUGCACUAAAAUGCUUUUUUUUUCAGUUAGUCAGGCCUUGGAAACUGCAGUGCGAAAUCACUGGAAAUACCGUGUGCGUCUUCGCUCCAACGUCUGCACCACAUGACAUUAUUGCUCUUCCUUCUGCCAUUGACAUCACGGGUCGCCAGCGUGCUGCUGGCACCCUUAAAUGCCUGGUGCCUAUUCACAAGGCAACAGCAAUGACGAGACUUGUAUAGGGCACUUCACUAUUUAAAAGUAGUCUGCUGCUGGAGUUCCUAGAGGGCGCACGGCGUUUGCUUAAAAGGACAUAUGCUAUAUAGUUUCUUCUCCUAGUUCUUGGGCUCUGUUUUAGAGUUAGAUUCAAAUGAUUCCUAAUUUAUUGAAGGUUGAUGGUCUGUUACUGUUAUCAACUGUGCAAGUUGUGUUUUAGGUAUUUUGUUCAGUAAUAAAUAUGUGGCUUACGAUGGGAGGAGAUUGUUGUUGAUUGGAGGGUGCCAUCCGAGUGCAGUGCGUUUUUGAUGUGACCUUGCAGGAGAAGCUAUCAAAGAAGGACUACAACUUGUCCUGCAUCUUGACACUUCCCCCUUACCAGCGUAAAGGUUUUGGAAGACUGCUGAUCGAGUUUAAUGACACGAAGUAUCCGUGUUCGAUACGGAGGAGAGCAGGGUCGGAGAACCAGGGAGAGCCACCAGCUGUGCGAUGGCAUCGUCCAAGCCUUGGCGGGAUUUGUGACUUUACGAGCAUGAAGAAGGACAAUGUCAUAUCGACACUGUAGCAUUUGAAGCUGAUCAUCUACCACAAGGGCCAGUACAUCCUCACGCUGACUGAAGAGGCAUUGGCAGCACGCAGUCGAGCCAUUGUGAAGCGACCUUUGCGCAUCGACUCCAAGUGCCUCCAAUGGAAGUCCAGAGAUUCGGGGAAGCAUCGGAAGUAGUCAACCGUGUUUGUGCUGCUGCUGUGCUCCAGUUGUCUUGGGAGGUCAUAGCUGAGGAGAGAAGGUGAAGGCUACUGGUACCUGACGAGAACUCUACCUCCUACACUUGACAAGUUUAUAUAAGGGUUAAUGAAAAGUACUGCAGUAAUUGGUUAACAUAGUGAAUCAGUAUACUAUAUUAUCACAACAUAAAGUGAUUCUCCGGUGAGAUGCAAGAAGCAUCUAAAACGAUGUACGUGCUGGAAAACCCUGACCUAUCCCUUUGGAUACAAAAAUAAGAACAAGGAUUUUUUUUAUUCCCCCGGUGACCUGAUACAGCGAAGUUUUAUAAUAUACAUUUAAAAGUUUAUUUAUUUGGCGUUUUGGUAAUGUUUGUCAUGCUUGCCCUAUUUCCAGCAUUGGCUAGUCCUCACUCAGCAUUUUUGGGGCUUUCAUUUUCAGCUGUGAUAUAAACUUCAUAAUUGUUUGACUUUUGUAAAGAGUUCAUCAGUUCUUCCUUUUUAUUUUGUCAACUUUCAAAUAGUGUGCUCAAAUUGCAGUGCCAAUAAAAUAUGUCUU